GCUUGCCAGCAGUCCCAGCUACUUGGGAGGCUGAGGCAGGAGGGUGGCUUGAGUUCAGGAGUUCCGGGUGUAGUGUGUUAUGCCGAUCAGGUGUCCACACUAAGUUCAGCAUCAGUAUGGUCUCCUCUUGGGAGCAGGGGACCACCAGGUUGCCUAAGGAGGGGUGAACCGGCCCAGGUUGGAAACAGAGCAGGCCAAAAUUCCCGCACUGAUCAGCAGUGGGGUCGGGGCUGUGAAUAGCCCCCGCACUCCAGCCCCGGCCACACAGCGAGACCUCUAUUUCU
rnacentral:SRP_RNA from 1 species